GAUGAACGCUGGCGGCGUGCCUAAUACAUGCAAGUCGAGCGAACAGAUGAGGAGCUUGCUCCUCUGACGUUAGCGGCGGACGGGUGAGUAACACGUGGAUAACCUACCUAUAAGACUGGGAUAACUUCGGGAAACCGGAGCUAAUACCGGAUAAUAUAUUGAACCGCAUGGUUCAAUAGUGAAAGACGGUUUUGCUGUCACUUAUAGAUGGAUCCGCGCCGCAUUAGCUAGUUGGUAAGGUAACGGCUUACCAAGGCAACGAUGCGUAGCCGACCUGAGAGGGUGAUCGGCCACACUGGAACUGAGACACGGUCCAGACUCCGACGGGAGGCAGCAGUAGGGAAUCUUCCGCAAUGGGCGAAAGCCUGACGGAGCAACGCCGCGUGAGUGAUGAAGGUCUUCGGAUCGGAAAACUCUGUUAUUAGGGAAGAACAAAUGUGUAAGUAACUAUGCACGUCUUGACGGUACCUAAUCAGAAAGCCACGGCUAACUACGUG
rnacentral:rRNA from 1 species